UGAGCCACCCAGGCACCCCACAAAUUGGAUUCUGUAACUUGCUUGUUGGUUGCUGAUGCAGCGUUUCAGAAAUAGACCAGUGUGGCCCCCAGGCAAAGGUUUUGUCUUUUCUCCUUGGGAUCCCAGCAGAGUGACUGCCAGGCUGGGAGGGAUCACUGUACAACAUUUUCCCAGGUUUAUUUUGAAGGGCAGGCAAGGGAGCAGAAGGUUUAUUUUUCACGGAACUCAACAGGGCAGAAAAGGCACAUGGAAAACAAAGGAUUAUAAGGAUUUAGUUUAGUUUGGGGUAUGGAUAGGGUCGGGAAAUGAGUUUUGUUACGGUGUGCUGUGAUUUUGUGAUUUAGAUCGACUAGUCUUAAAUAAGCUCAGCUGGUAUGUUGACCCAGUCUGUUGACCCAAACAGGGUUCAGGCAAGACAGGCUGAGCUGCUUUUUCUUUAAUGUCUGCGUGCUACUUCUGCUGCCUAGUUCAG